GCCAGUGUGAUGUAGUGGUUUAAGCAUUGGACUGCGAAUCUGAAGACCAGGGUUCGAAUCCCUGCAUGGCCA